CGCUGUACACCUCCCCGGUCACUCACCGUCCUGUGGGGCCGGUGCCUGCUGACGCCCAGUCCGGGGAAGCCCGCUGUCAGCCCCCUGCCACUCCUAGAGAGCAGCAGCAGCGGAGAUCUACCUGCAGUGGCCGCCAUCUCUCAACUGGAAGCGCUCCGGAGCCGGGCGCGCAGCGGCGCUCGCUGGGCGGGACUAAAACACGCCGCUCAAAACUCUCCAGACCAAUGGUGAGGGCGCAGGAAUAGAAAGUGGGCGUGGCGAUAUGCGACCGGCCCCGCCUUCCUGUGCUAUGUUUCCGGGACUGUAGUGAAAUGGGCGGAGAGUGACAGCUGUCAGUCAUCCCUGGGUCCCGCCCACAGGGGGUAGGAUACUAGACAUUACAGGCAGUCUCUAUAUUUAUACUGGAGGUGGAAUUUCUUCAGAGCUCAGCAGUGAAUAAGGCCUCUCAGGGCACUAAUGUAUAAAGUACCUAUAAUACAUACCGUACAUUAGCUUAGAGACUAUUCAACAUGUCUUCAUACCUGUCAUUUUAUUAUUUAAUUGACAGUAAAAAAAAUUUCCUCUGUUGAUAUUAAAAAGUGUCUGCAAAGCCCAUAAGCCCACAGAGAAAAACUAUUAUUUUAUUUAUAAGGGACAACUGCUCUGCAAUGAGCAAACAAAAAAACCUGUCAGCAAAUGACAACAAGCAAAUAUAAGCAAAUAAGAAGUGAGAGAGACUUUGCUGAAAUAAAUAAUUAACAGCAACACAAAUGCUGAAAUAAAUAAUUAAAGGCAACAUAAAUGGAAAUUAAACAUUAAAACGCAAAAGUGUUGUCCUAUAUAGCAAUCAGUAUUAAAAAAAAAUACACGGGCACUGAUAUAAUACGUAUGUUUGACACUUUUUUAAUUUGUAUCAUAAUUUAUAUAGUGCCAACAUAUUUCAUAGUGCUUUAACCCCUUAAGGACACAUGACAUGUGUGACAUGUCAUUAUUCCCUUUUAUUCCAGAAGUUUGGUCCUUAAGGGGUUAAAGGAAAACUGUAGUGGUUAUGGUAUCAGGAGAGCGCUGGCGUAAUCCCAUGGUAAGAUGUCAAACAGAUAUCAUAAUAACAUAUCUAAUUCCUGCUGAAUGGUGGUGUUAUAUCAGCUGCAUUCAAUAUUCUUUAGCCGCCGAAUCCAUUUAGGCUACAGAACAAAGAAGGUCCAUGCAAGACAGCGCUG